GUCAGGAUCAGUCCAGCCCCCAUUUACAAUUGGGGAAACUGCGGCUCCGAAAGGGUCAGAGGGUACCCGAGGUCAAGCAGUAGAGAGCGGACUCGAACUUAAGCUCUUGCUCUUAGGCUGAGAAGCCUUGGCGUGGCCACUGGCUACCCUCUAGGUGGGCGUGGUCAAGACUGGGGCGCCCUGGAAACUUCCCCACCCAAGUUUCUCAGAUUUUCUGUUCCAUCUCUCUCUCACUCUUUCCUGAAAUCCAGAAUUUCAGAACUGGGAAAGCUCUCCAAAACAAUUCAUCCAUUUUACAGAUGGGGCAACUGACUCGGAGAGGCAGUGACAUUUGGGCAUACGGUGCCUUGUUUCCGUCUGAAAUCCGGGAUUCUUGACUUUCUCCACCCUUGCCUAGUGAACCCCGGGCUUGUGCUGGGGGCGGGUUGUGACGGGAUUGGGAUCCCUGACCUCGGGAGGCGAGUGGGGCAGCAGAGCCGGCCCCCCAGCAGUUCCCUUCAUCUCCCCCCGCCCCGCAGUGUGUUGCAUACUUUCUAAGGCGGCGGCUGCAGCAGCGGCUCCAUCCAGCCCGUCAGCUCCUCCUGCAAGGCAUGGCUGGCUACCUGAGUGAAUCGGACUUUGUGAUGGUGGAGGAGGGCUUCAGUACCCGAGACCUGCUGAAGGAACUCACUCUGGGGGCCUCACAGGCCACCACGGUGAGGGGCUGGGAAUGGGGGUGGGUCCCUGGUCCCCUGUACAGAUCAGCUGCCUCCUCAGGAAGGGUCCCUAGGGCCCUCAUCUUAUCCUUUCACUUAUUUGGUACGCAAUCCUUGCUGUUUGCAAGAGAGGGGCUCAAUUUAUCCCCAAUUCUUGGUCCUUGCCCCCAAAACUGCCCCUCCUAUGUUGCCUUUCUACCCAGCCCUCCAAGGUCAGAAACAGGGGAUUCCUCUCCUGCUGCCAGCUCUCCCUCACCGCCCACAUCUAGGCAUUACCAAGCUCUGUGAAUUCUGCCUCCUUAAAUAAGCCUCCAGUGUGCUUAUGUGGAACCUCGCUUUCUAGUUCAGUCUUCCUCUCUCCAAAGGCCCCCUGAUCUCCCUGUCUCAUGCCACCCCCUCCAAAGGUAUGAUAGUCCUGUUCAAAAUCAGAAUUUGGCAAUUCCCCACUGCCUACAGGAUCAAGUCAGAGCUUCCCUGCCUCCAUAGCCCCAUUCCCAGCUUUCCCCACAGUAUAUAUUAUGCUCCUUUGGAGCUGAAUGACUCAAUUUGCAUUUCCUAGUGAUGCCCUGUGCCCUAUUACCAUGCCUUUGCCCAGGCUGUUCCUUCUGCUUGCAGCAUCCUUCUCUCAGCCUCUCCCCUCUUUACCCGUUUCUAGUCAUUCCUUGCUUCUCAUCAGUGUUGCCUUUUCCUGAUCGCCCCAGGCAGAUUUUGUAUUUUCUUUCUCCAUGCCCCCACAUUGCACCUUGUAGAAACUGCCAUCUAACAUCUGCUGAAUGGACUUGUAAGUACUUAAGGGGUUCCUUUUCUUCCAGACCCAAGCUCCUUCAGAGCAACAGUACUGUUUGGUUAUCUCUGUCCCUUAGCAUAACGUUUGGCACCAAGUGGGCAUGAGUAAAAAAGUGUUGCAUGAAAGGAAAACUUAGUCCCAGGGAAGGAACUCUGGAAGGGUCCCUUCCACAUUUAAGUAAUGUGGUCUCACCCACAGUCUCAUACACGUUUGGCCUUUAGCACAUCUGCAAUGAACAGUUGUCCAUAGGGAUAGGUUGCAGUGUCAGUGGGACUAGCUUAAGGCUUCAUCGAGCACCUGUGUUUGGAAGGUAGUGAGCUGUAGGUCAUAGCUUCUGCCUUUAGGGAGUUUACCCUUUUCUAGAAUGGACGGAUGCAUAUGCAGUUCUGAUACCUUGGAAGCAUAUGCAAAUGCAGUGGGAGCAUUUAAAAGCAGAGUUGCCUUAUUGGUUUGGGGAGGGUGGUAUUUGAGUGAAACUUUAAGGAUUUUGCCAGACACAGGAAUGGGGAGGGUAUUCUGCAGGGCAUGGUGGGAACAAAGGUUUGAAGGUGGGAAAAUGAUCCAGCCUACAGCUGGAGUUUUAGCUGCAUUGAGGGGAGGGGUUGGGGCUAGAUCACAGCCUUGAAUGCCAGGCUGAGGAGUUUGCCUUCUGUCCUGUAGGCUUGGGGAGGCCCAGAAAACUUAACAGCAGGGUAGCUCUGUGGCCGGAACUGAACCUGGGUCAGGUACUUGGAAGGAUCAUGGAUGGCAUGCACAGGGUACGAGCUGGAUGGGGUCUCACAUUCAUCCACUUGUUGUCAUUCAGGACCAGGUAGCUGCCUUCUUCGUGGCUGACCUGGGUGCCAUAGUGAGGAAGCACUUUUGCUUUCUGAAGUGCCUGCCACGAGUCCGGCCCUUUUACGCUGUCAAGUGCAACAGCAGCCCAGGUGUGCUGAAGGUUCUGGCCCAGCUGGGGCUGGGCUUUAGCUGUGCCAACAAGGCAGAGAUGGAGUUGGUCCAGCAUAUUGGAGUCCCUGCCAGUAAGAUCAUCUGCGCCAACCCCUGUAAGCAAAUUGCACAGAUCAAAUAUGCUGCCAAGCAUGGGAUCCGGCUGCUGAGCUUUGACAAUGAGAUGGAGCUGGCAAAGGUGGUAAAGAGCCACCCCAGUGCCAAGAUGGUUCUGUGCAUUGCUACCGAUGACUCCCACUCCCUGAGCCGCCUGAGCCUAAAGUUUGGAGUGUCACUGAAAUCCUGCAGACACCUGCUUGAAAAUGCGAAGAAGAGCCACGUGGAGGUGGUGGGUGUGAGUUUUCACAUUGGCAGUGGCUGUCCUGACCCUCAGGCCUACGCUCAGUCCAUCGCAGAUGCCCGGCUCGUGUUUGAAAUGGGCACUGAGCUGGGUCACAAGAUGCACAUUCUGGACCUUGGUGGCGGCUUCCCUGGCACAGAAGGGACUAAAGUGAGAUUUGAAGAGAUUGCUUCCAUGAUCAACUCAGCCUUGGACCUGUACUUCCCAGAGGGCUGUGGCGUGGACAUCUUUGCUGAGCUGGGGCGCUACUACGUGACUUCGGCCUUCACUGUGGCAGUCAGCAUCACUGCCAAGAAGGAGGUUCUGCUGGACCAGCCUGGCAGGGAGGAGGAAAAUGGUUCCACCCGCAAGACCAUCGUGUACCACCUUGAUGAGGGCGUGUAUGGGAUCUUCAACUCAGUCCUGUUUGACAACAUCUGCCCUAUCCCCAUCCUGCAGAAGAAACCAUCCACGGAGCAGCCCCUGUACAGCAGCAGCCUGUGGGGCCCGGCGGUUGAUGGCUGUGACUGCGUGGCUGAGGGCCUGUGGCUGCCGCAACUACACGUAGGGGACUGGCUGGUCUUUGACAACAUGGGUGCCUACACUGUGGGCAUGGGUCCCCCCAAAGGGGGGACCCAGGCCUGCCACAUCACCUAUGCCAUGUCCCGGGUGGCCUGGUAAGAGGGCCCUGCUGGAAAAUGGGGGUAUGGGGAGGAACUGGGCAGAAACGAGGGAAACUUGAGAUUUGAGAUUCUGCUUCUGUGUAAUCCAAUUUGACAAGUAGCUGUUGGCUGCUGGUCCCACGUGAGGCCUGUGCUUGGCACCUGGCUGUGGCCAUAAGUGAGGCUGGGCUUUCCUAGAGGAGCUCACAGCCCUGAGGGAGGCACAGAGAAGCAGACAGGCCCUUGUGAUAAUACUGUGCCUGGUGAAAGUGCAGAGCCCUCCCUGAGGCCCGGGCCUCCCUGAGGAAGUGGGAGUCAACUACAGGAGGGGGUGGUAGGACUUCCCGGAAGAAAGGAACGGAGAGCAAGUGUGGUGCAUUCAAGGCUCUCAUGGAGAGUGGCUGUGACUGGAGAGGGAGGCAGGGCUAGAUCUGGGAAGAGCUUGAAGGCCGAGUGACACGCUUUGACAGCAGUGGGAGGCAUGGACCAGUCUGAAGCAGGGGCAUAACACAGUCUGAUUUGCACUUUGGAAAGACCACCCUAGUUCCUGUAUAGACUGAAGAUAAGGGCAGACGCAGAAAGAGCUGACCAGUGGGUGGCUGCUGUGUGACACAGGAGAGACUUAGUCUGCCUGCUUGCUGAGCCUCGGUCUUUCCAUCUGGAAAAUAGGCAUAACAGUAGCCCUGCCUGCCCCACCAGGCUAGUGCUGGGAUCCAGUGAGGCAAGAGGCAUGCAAGAUGGGGGAGUCACAUCCAGUGAACCCUGACAUCAGGCCUUACGUUAGGCGUCGUAUGACUAUUUCACCCACACAAAACUCUGUGGGGGUCAGCGUUGUCACAGACAGGUCAUUCUUCUGAGGUCACGCAGCUAGUCAGUGGUGAAGGGUCCCUCUUUGGGGGUAGGGAGAGGGCUACAGAAAGCAGGAGCAGUUUGCCCAGGCACAUUCAAUUCCUCUGCUGUGUCCGGUCUCAGGACUCACCAAAGCUGAGACCUGAAGGCUAAGGAGGAAUUAGGUGAGGGUUGAUGAUGCAGGCAGAGAGACAAGGAUGGAUCCAGGCUGGGGAGAGGACAUGUGUAAGAGCCCAAAAGGUGGCCAUAGUGAAUGGCCCAGGUGUGUGGGCGGGUGUGGCCAGGGGUGGGCAGAAGAGGUGGGUAGGGCCAGAUCUUGCAGGGCCUGAGAGCAGAGGGAAAUGGCUGGCAGCUCAAGGGCAGGGAUUUGCUUUUUGGAAAGAUGAAUCUGGGCCCUGGCUGAGAACUGUCUGGAGAGGGCACGAGCAGAUCAGGGAGACUGAAAUGGUGUUACCCAUGGGGAUGGAGACCACAGGGCACAUGAGGAUGUUCAGAAGCUGGGCUCAGCAGGGCUGUACUGGGUGUGGGAACAAGAUUGCCAACUAUUUCCAACACUGAUGGUGGAGCCAUUGAUCAACAUGGGUAUGUAGGAGGAGAAGCAGUUUGUGGGAUUGUUUGAGAGAAUGGGAUAUGAUUUUGUUUGAAGUCCCAAGCCUGGGGUAUGAUGAAUGUGGGCUUUGGAGUGAGAGUUGGGUUCAGUCCUAGUUCCACUACCUACUAGUGAUGUGGUCUUAGGUAGGUCACUUCUCUCUCUGGGGAACUGAUUGAUUACAUCAUUAACGCAAGGGGGUGGUAAUAACUCCCUCAUGGGGUUUUUGGGAAGAUACAAAUAGAUAAUAUAAGUGCCCGGCAUGAUGUCUGGCACACAGUAAAUGCUUGAUACAUGUGGAUUUCUUUCCCUUGUUGAGGGGUGGGGACCACACGGGAGUAGGAAGCAGUUGGGGAGGGGUCAGCAGCCUGUCCCUGCCCCUGCCCUCAGCUGAGCUCGGGCUCAGGUGAGAGCCCUCUGCCCAAUGGGGCUGCGUCUCCAGGUACAGGGCCCUGCCAGCCCCAUGCUGGCUACUUGCAGCACCCCUCUCUCACCCCUAGGGAAGCGCUGGGAAGGCAGCUGAUGGCUGCAGAACAGGAGGAUGACGUGGAGGGUGUGUGCAAGCCUCUGUCCUGCGGCUGGGAGAUCACAGACACCCUGUGCGUGGGCCCUGUCUUCACCCCGGCGAGCAUCAUGUGAGCGGGCCUCGUUCCCCCCGGAGAACCCCAGCGGGGCCUCAGAGAUGCGUCUGGGAGAGGUGGGGAAGAUGGCAGGCAAGGGUACCCUUGGCCAGGACUCUGGUACCCACCCUGCCACCCCCGCGCUCCACCUGCAGUGUUUCUGCCCUGUAAAUAGGACCAGUCUUACACUCGCUGUAGUUCAAGUAUGCGACAUAAAUCCUGUUCCUUCCAGCUGUGUCUGCCUCCUCUGCAGUGCAAGGGGCCUGGUCAGCCAGGUGUGGGGGUGUUCUUGAGGUCUCCUUUGGUCUCCUUCCCACCUUUGUAAAUAUAAUGCAAAUAAAUAAAUAUUUAGGUUUUUUAAAACUGC
rnacentral:sRNA from 1 species